AAAAAUAAAAAUAAAAAUAAAAAAUAACUCAGACAAUCAGGAAAAAGAGCUGUUAUAGGAUUUGCUUCUCCUGGAUAUCAAAAUUUAUUAUAGCAUAUAAUAACUAAAUUAGGAUGAUAUUAGUUAAAGGAUUGACAAAUGGGAAUAAUGGAACUUUAUGGAGUCCAGAAAAACAUCCACACGUCUAUGGUAUUUAUGACAAAUGUGGUAAUGUAGAUAGAAGGUAAUGAUAGAAGUUGAACAGUGCUAUCAGAUGGAUGUCCUUAUGGAGAAUAAUGAAUCUGAAUUCGUACCAGACAUGAAAAAAAUCAAAUUUUGAUGCGUUAACUUUGCCAAAUUAUGCUGAUAAUUCAGAUAAGAUGAGGAAUAAGAAUUGAUAUAGCUAUGGGAAGAUGGUGGUAGGGAGGCCUGAGAUAAGAGUGGAUAUAAUUAUGAGAGAAUAGAAAGAUAGGAAUUAGAGAUAGCAAGGACAGACAACUUUUUUUUAGAUUUACAUUGCAAAGGGGAAAGAAAAAGAGUGAUGACGGGGGAAGUAGAAUCACUGAAGCUUGAAAUUAAUAGCAAAGUUAGAACACAGUUGAAGACUGUUUAGCUUACAGGACAAUUUGUAACUUUGAAAUAUUUAUGUUUAUGAGAAAGUAUGAACUAAGUCAACUAAGUAGUCCAAUCAAGAAGUAAGAAAAAGAAUAACAAAGGAUACCUAAGAAUAGGUGAAGAAAGUAACUAGUAAAAAUAAUAAACAGAAUUUAAUGAAUUAGAAAACUAAAAUAAAAAUGGAACUACUAAAUACUGAGUUUAUAAUAAAUUGGUAAUUAACUUAAGAAAGGAUUUAAUGAAGUUACGAUGCAUACCCAAAAAUUAUAGGGAAAGGCCCAACAGAUAUAAAGAUAAUUAAGGA
rnacentral:lncRNA from 1 species